rnacentral:rRNA from 1 species
UACGGAGGGUGCAAGCGUUAUCCGGAUUCACUGGGUUUAAAGGGAGCGUAGGUGGGCUGGUAAGUCAGUGGUGAAAUCUCCGGGCUUAACUCGGAAACUGCCGUUGAUACUAUCAGUCUUGGAUGUUGUGGAGGUAAGCGGAAUAUGUCAUGUAGCGGUGAAAUGCUUAGAUAUGACAUAGAACACCGAUAGCGAAGGCAGCUUGCUACACAAUUAUUGACACUGAGGCUCGAAAGCGUGGGGAGCAAACAGG